AUGGUUUGUGAAGCUUUGUCCUUAACCAUCCCUUUCUUCUCAAAUAUAGCCUCCAAAAAGGAUGUUAAAUUAGCUGGUAAAAGCUAUAGUCUUUGUCGUUGGAGUCCUAGGAUUCGAUGCUCGAGUUCUAGUGCAGAGGGGGCCUGUAACUGCUGAUAAGCUUGAAAAUGAUUAUUCCUUGACCGGUACUGCUUAUGAUUUUGAGAGAGCUACCGUAUCACUUACCCGUGAGUCUUUAUCGUCCCCAAAGACGGUAACUCUUUUAAGGCAUGGCCUCAGCUAUUGGAAUGAAGAGGGUAGAGUUCAGAAGCUGGUAUAAAGCAAGCUGAAAGGUGUAGGCAGGCCCUUGCGAAGAUGCACUUUGAUCAAUGCUUUUCGAGUCCGAUAACACGCGCUAAGACCACUGCCGAAGUGUUAUGGCAAGGCAGGGAAGAGCCACUAGUUUUCCUUGAUUCACUUACGAGUGCCAUCUCUUUUUUCCUUGAAGGCAUGAAAAUGGUCUGUUUCUAACA